rnacentral:hammerhead_ribozyme from 1 species
CUGCUGAAGAGUCGCAAACUAAUGAGACGAAACAGCUGUCUGGCAG